CUACUACUCCCUCCAUCCGAAAAUACUUGUCAUUGAAAUGGAUGUAUCUAGAUGUAUUUUAGUUCUAGACACAUCGAUUUUGAUGACAAGUAAUUCCGGACGGAGGGAGUAUUAU
rfam:Triticum aestivum genome assembly, contig: Triticum_aestivum_CS42_TGACv1_scaffold_113572_2AS